AUGGUUCUACGGGACAGUUUGGGUAAGAUCAUUUUCUCAUCAUGCAGAGAACUGAGAGCAUGUGCAGAACCUUUAGAAGCCGAACUUCUAUCCUGCCUGGAAGGUUUGAACCUUGCCUUGCAGUGGACGCAGCUACCUAUUGAAGUGGAGACAGACUGUCGUGUUGCUCUUAAGAUGAUCACAGCAGUGGACAGAGAUCGAUCCCGUUACUCCAUGCUGGUUGAUCAGAUCAGGAGGCUUAUGUCGGAAGGGAGAGUAGUUAAGCUAGCUCAUAUUUGUAGGGAGCAGAAUAGCAUCAGUCAUUAUCUAGCUAGCUUUGGUAGAACUGAAUGCCGCACGGUUGUAUGGCUGGGGUCGGGGCCAGGCAAUGUCCCUGAUCUAUGUAAGACUGAUUAUGCUCUUGACUGA
rnacentral:rRNA from 1 species